rnacentral:rRNA from 1 species
CUACGGGGGGCAGCAGUGGGGAAUAUUGGACAAUGGGGGAAACCCUGAUCCAGCAAUGCCGCGUGUGUGAAGAAGGCCUGCGGGUUGUAAAGCACUUUCGGUUGGGAGGACUGCUUCUAGCACUAAUAUUGUUGGAAGUUGACGUUACCUUCAGAAGAAGCACCGGCUAACUCCGUGCCAGCAGCCGCGGUAAUACGGAGGGUGCAGCGUUAAUCGGAAUUACUGGGCGUAAAGCGCGCGUAGGCGGCUAGAUCAGUCGGGUGUGAAAGCCCCGGGCUUAACCUGGGAACUGCAUCCGAUACUGUCUAGCUUGAGUACAGGGGAGGAGAGUGGAAUUCCACAUGUAGCGGUGAAAUGCGUAGAUAUGUGGAGGAACACCAAUGGCGAAGGCAGCUCUCUGGCCUGAUACUGACGCUGAGGUGCAAAAGCGUGGGGAGCAAACAGGAUUAGAUACCCUGGUAGUC